rnacentral:rRNA from 1 species
GCUAUUGGAGUUCGAUUAAGCCAUGCGAGUCGCGAGAAAUUAGAUUCUCGGCGUACCGCUCAGUAACACGUGGGUAACCUGCCCUAUGCUGGAUAAUAACCUCGGGAAACUGAGAAUAAUGAUCCAUAGUUCACUACGCCUGGAACGGUGAGUGGAUGAAAGCUCCGGCGGCAUAGGAUGGGCCUGCGGCGUAUCAGGUAGUAGGGGGUGUAACGUACCCUCUAGCCCUCUACGCGUACGGGUGUUGGGAGACAUAGCCCGGAGAUGGAUUCUGAGACACGAAUCCAGACCCUACGGGGUGCAGCAGGCGCGAAAACUUGGCAAUGCGAGAAAUCGUGACCAGGGAACUCCAAGUGCAUCGGGUAAGACCGGUGCUUUUCUUGACUCUAAAUAGGUCUUGGAAUAAGGGGUGGGUAAGGACGGUGCCAGCCGCCGCGGUAAUACCGGCGCCUCAAGUGGUAGUCGCUUUUAUUGGGCCUAAAACGUCCGUAGCCGGUCUGAUACAUUCGUGGGCAAAUCAACCAGCUCAACUGGUUGAAUUCUGCGAGGACGGUCAGACUUGGGACCGGGAGAGGUGUGGGGUACGCUCAGGGUAGGGGUAAAAUCCUGUCAUCCUGAGCGGACCACCUGUUGCGAAGGCGCCACACUAGAACGGAUCCGACGGUCAGGGACGAAGCCUAGGGGCACGAACCGGAUUAGAUACCCGGGUAGUCCUAGGUGUAAACGCUGUGGACUUGAUGUUGGGGGUGCUCCGAGCACUCUCAGUGUCGAAGCGAAGGUGAUAAGUCCACUGCCUGGGAAGUACGGUCGCAAGGCUGAAACUUAAAGGAAUUGGCGGGGGAGCACCGC